rnacentral:rRNA from 1 species
AAGACCUUGCGCUUUUGGAGCGGCCGAUGCCUGAUUAGCUUGUUGGUAAGGUAAAGGCUUACCAAGGCUUCGAUCAGUAGCUGGUCUGAGAGGACGGUUAGCUACAUUGGGACUGAGACACGGCCCAGACUCCUACGGGAGGCAGCAGUGGGGAAUUUUGGACAAUGGGGGAAACCCUGAUCCAGCCAUGCCGCGUGAGUGAAGAAGGCCUUCGGGUUGUAAAGCUCUUUCAGCCGGAACGAAACGGUUACGGAUAAUACCCGUGACUACUGAUGGUACCGGAAGAAGAAGCACCGGCUAACUACGUGCCAGCAGCCGCGGUAAUACGUAGGGUGCGAGCGUUAAUCGGAAUUACUGGGCGUAAAGCGUGCGCAGGUGGUUUUGUAAGUCAGAUGUGAAAGCCCCGGGCUCAACCUGGGAACU